AAGCUGAACUUUACCCGUUCGAUGACAAACACGCAGAUAUCUGGCUUAAUACUGUACCUUAUCAUUAGGUGGCUUUUCUGUCAGACUUGUGUGGGAAUUUUCACUCCCCGGUAAAGCACUGGAAGCAAACACAUCAAGUCUGGAGAUAUUUCCCUGGGCAGUUAUCACACCCUGCGGGGAGUAAGAGGGUUCGGGGCAUCUGGCCGAUCACUGUCUGGAGGGGGCUUGGCGUGCUGGUGGGUGCUGCAGAAGAGGCCUCAGUGCACUGGCUAAGAGCCACCAGAAGGAAGCAGACCGUCUUACAACUUGGUGCCACGAUGCUAGCUGCCCGUCUCUCUAGACCCCUGUCACAGCUCCCAGGAAAAGCCCUAAGUGUCUGUGACAGAGAAAAUGGGACAAGGUAAGCAACCAAAGGGAGGGUUGGCCUUGAAGACCACCCUUCAUCCUCACUACCUGCCAGACCCCAGUGCUCAGGAGACAGGACUUCCCGUGGCUCAUGGGGCAAAUAGGAGUAGCUUCCUGAGAAUUUUCUAAACCCCUUUGUCUGCUCUGGGGCUGUAUCUCAGGGAUAGAGCACUUUCCUAGUGUACACAUGGUUACUAGUGACUGAGAAAAUGAACCCUUUUCCCAUUUAUCUGAAAAAAAAGAUUGGUUUUGUUUUUGUUUUUUCGAGACAGGGUUUCUCUGUGUAGCCCUGACUGUCCUAGAAAUCACUCUGUAGACCAGGCUGGCCUCGAACUCAGAGAUCUGCCUGCCUCUGCCUCUCAAAUGCUGGGAUUAAAGGAGUGCACCACCACUGCCUGGCUUUGAAAUUCUCUUAGAAUCUUAUAAAACUUGCAAAAAUAACACAUAGGUCCUCCUCACUCAACGACCUUAGCCAUUCGCACCAUAUCAAAUCA
rnacentral:lncRNA from 1 species